GUCCGUGUAGCGCAAUGGAUAGCGCGUUGAACGCGUUAUUCAAAGGUAGUAGAUUCGAAUCCUACCUGGGCU